UGGGGAAUUUUGGACAAUGGGGGCAACCCUGAUCCAGCCAUGCCGCGUGCGGGAAGAAGGCCUUCGGGUUGUAAACCGCUUUUAGUCGGGAAGAAAAGGCAAGGGUUAACACCUCUUGUUCUUGUCGGUACCGGCGGAAUAAGCACCGGCUAACUACGUGCCAGCAGCCGCGGUAAUACGUAGGGUGCGAGCGUUAAUCGGAAUUACUGGGCGUAAAGCGUGCGCAGGCGGUUUGUUAAGUCUGAUGUGAAAGCCCCGGGCUCAACCUGGGAAUGGCAUUGGAAACUGGCAAGCUCGAGUGCGGCAGAGGGGGGUGGAAUUCCGCGUGUAGCAGUGAAAUGCGUAGAGAUGCGGAGGAACACCGAUGCCGAAGGCAGCCCCCUGGGCCGACACUGACGCUCAGGCACGAAAGCGUGGGGA
rnacentral:rRNA from 1 species